rnacentral:rRNA from 1 species
AUUGAACGCUGGCGGCAUGCCUUACACAUGCAAGUCGAACGGUAACAGGUUAAGCUGACGAGUGGCGAACGGGUGAGUAAUGUAUCGGAACGUGCCCAGUCGUGGGGGAUAACUGCUCGAAAGAGCAGCUAAUACCGCAUACGACCAGAGGGUGAAAGCGGGGGAUCGCAAGACCUCGCGCGAUUGGAGCGGCCGAUAUCAGAUUAGGUAGUUGGUGAGGUAAAGGCUCACCAAGCCGACGAUCUGUAGCUGAUCUGAGAGGACGACCAGCCACACUGGGACUGAGACACGGCCCAGGCUCCUACGGGAGGCAGCAGUGGGGAAUUUUGGACAAUGGGCGCAAGCCUGAUCCAGCCAUGCCGCGUGCGGGAAGAAGGCCUUCGGGUUGUAAACCGCUUUUGUCAGGGAAGAAAAGGUUCUGGCUAAUACCUGGGACUCAUGACGGUACCUGAAGAAUAAGCACCGGCUAACUACGUGCCAGCCGCCGCAGUAA